CGCACAUUGCGCCCCUUGGUAUUCCAUGGGGCAUGCCUGUUCGAGCGUCAUUUGUACCUUCAAGCUCUGCUUGGUGUUGGGUGUUUGUCUCCUGUAGACUCGCCUUAAAACAAUUGGCAGCCGGCGUAUUGAUUUCGGAGCGCAGUACAUCUCGCGCUUUGCACUCAUAACGACGACAUCCAAAAGUACAUUUUUACACUCUUGACCUCGGAUCAGGUAGGGAUACCCGCUGAACUUAA
rnacentral:misc_RNA from 1 species